UUGAGUAGUCAGGUUAGUUAGACCAACACAGAGAAACUAAGAGAUGACACAGGUGGUUUUGCUGUAAUGCCAGAUUAUUGUCCUCCUGCCGGAAUAAAUGCACAGUUUAUCAAAGAUAUAUGGACGUACAAAAGCACACAGAAGAGGACGGGACCGGAAUAUACUUCUUGGACCUUGUUUGCCCUCGGAGCUGUAUCGGCUGUGAGUGAGAAGCCACGCGGGUCAUGGCCAUGGUCACUGGACUUCUUCUCUUUUCCCUCUUCCUCACCAUCCAUCCAUAACCUCCUUAUUCCCCUCCCAUCAUCUCCACACACAUCACACGCUAACUGAGGACAGACAAUAAAGACUGACCAGGCCACGGCGGAAGAAACAAACAAAGACAUCCUAAUAUGCGGCAGCUUCGUACAGUUGGACGAUGGCUGAAAACACCAAGAAGCACCCAUUAAUGGUUUCAGAGGUGGAUUCUACUGCUAAAAUUAAACCUGGACAACUGAACGCAACCCAGCUGACGCUGUUCACUGCACCACACAGCUCAAAGUCUUCCUGCAUGAAGUAGCCACAGUGUUGCUGCAUGAAGCUGUGAUGUGCUACGUCUUCCUGUCUGAAUGCGAUGCACCACAGAUAUGAGGCCGUCCAUCUGCCAUCAGAUCUCCGAGGACAGAUGUUAAUGCCAGGUCUGAACUAGGUCAAACGCGUACACAGCAGCAUCGCCACACGACACGAUAGAAAAUAUGUGGACGCAUGUUAGAGUUCAUCUUCUGUGUCUCUAGUUUCGGACAUUGUACUACAGACGUCAAAGCGGGAGUUUGAUCCCAUUCAGACACAAGAACGUGCCAUGUUUUCAUUUUACCAAUUUUUCAAUCGCCCUUACCCUUCCUGAUUGGCAGUUAGUACCUCGUAAAAAUGAGGUCAUGACACCUGUGGUGAAAGCAUUGGAAAUUACGCCAGUUCAGAGGAAAGCAGGAGAAUGAAAAAGAAUAAUACGACAUAAAAACACAUGCACGAGAGCCGGAGCAGAUGCGCUUCUCUCAUUCUCUUACUCCGAGUUCAGAUUACUCCCCUCACUUAGAUGCACUCACAUACCAAAAGCUGGCACCAAUUAAUCUGAUAGAAAUGUUUAGUACCAAUGUAACGCAGAGGGUAAAUGUAGAAGGACCAAAUUCAGACCCCAUCGCUCUCCUCUUUGUCAACUGAGAUCGACUCCAGUUGCUCUGUGACCCUCAGAAAAGCUGCUUCAUUGUUAUCUGUGCCUUCCCAUAACUCAUAUGUUCAGGCUUUUUGAUGAGUAGAAUCUUUUCAUAAUAAACUGUGAUGGACGCAAACUGCAGUAAUCGGUCACUGAAGCAGCAAAGUGUGUCGCUUCAACUGUGGCUUCCUCCACAAAACACACCUCUAUGUAGUUUUAGUGUCUAAAAUCAUCUCAAUCCAAAUACACGUCACGUGACCAUUCAGGUGAAAGCAGGAGGCAGUCAUUUGCCUUUCAGAAUGAGGAACAACAGCGCUGACGAGUCAAAUUUGAUUGUUUUUCAACUGCUUCUGAACGAGAAGCGUUAGUAACGCUUUGAUUCACAGCUGGUGGUCGAUUCACAACUGAUAACAAGUCGGUAAGAGAAUGUUUAGCGUCCAAACUGUUUGAGUUUUCCAAAAUCCAAAAUCUCACUCUCUAUCCAAGUUCACGAAAUCACAACCCCCAGAGUUUACUCAUUAAGCCAGAACCAGCAGCGGUUUCCAGAAGUCUCUGCUUUGCACGGUGGACGCCAGCGAUCACCAUAGCAACAGUGAUUUGAAGAAGACCUUAUGUGGAUGCAUCAGUCACUUUUAAGAUUUUAACAUGCAACCAGUAGCAACUGGGUCAGCGGACAUGAAGCAACCCAUUUAUACAUGCGCUCAUUUAUUAAUCAUGUCCUGAAGUAUUAAUUAUGUGUU